rnacentral:rRNA from 1 species
UACGUGGGGGGCAAGCGUUGUUCGGAAUUAUUGGGCGUAAAGGGCGCGUAGGCGGUGCGGUAAGUCACCUGUGAAACCUCUAGGCUCAACCUAGAGCCUGCAGGCGAAACUGCCGUGCUUGAGGGUGGGAGAGGUGCGUGGAAUUCCCGGUGUAGUGGUGAAAUGCGUAGAUAUCGGGAGGAACACCAGUGGCGAAGGCGACUUCCUGGCCUGUUCUUGACGCUGAGGCGCGAAAGCUAGGGUAGCAAACGGG